GGACUGGAAAGGCUAAAGGAGUAAAAUGAAGUACACAAGAAAUAAGAAUUUAGACAUGUGCUGCAGCUAGAAACAGAUAUGUAAGUAUUUAUAAAUAAAAAUUAUCAGUGUUCCCAACAUGCCCAAAGUUGGGAUUGGGGUGAAGGUUUACUGCUUAUCCUGCUACAUUUUUGUACCUUAAAUAAAUGUUAAGAAGAAAAAUUGCUUACUCUUUAUGUUAAUAACUGUAUAAUAAAUUUGCUGUUAAUAAAGAAUCUUGAUUUUGUAAUUUGCUUUUAAUUAGUCCCCUACCAAUGAAGUUGAUGUGGAAUUAAGUUUGCACUCCGUCUGUCUGUCUGUCUGUCAAUUCUCAGUCAGGCAAAUCAGUUUUCCACACUUUUUUCUUCCUUCUUGAAGAUAUUGAUUUAAUGUUAGUUAUAAAGUUGUAUCAUGACACAAGUUAUAGAUCAAGUUUGAAUGGUAUUUUGGUCUGAUGAUUAUGUCCAGAGUUAUGGUCCAAAAAAAAUUUGAUAUCUAUAACAUUAUUAGUUUGGGUGAAAAUACCAUGAUUACCAAACAAUGUUGGGACAUUUUUUCUGACGUACAUUGUAUGUUUUUCUAUAUAGCAUGUAUAGAAUGCUUUAUAAUAUUUGUGCAUUUUAGCUGGAUUUACUAUAUUGGAAAUACAAUUCAGUACCAAUUAAAAUGUACUUAUUUAUGCAUUACUACUAUAUGACAUGUACAACAAACUACAAUAUAUAUAUAUAUGUAUAGCAAUUGCAAAAUUUCUUCUGAACUAACUAAUUCAGUAAAGUGAAUGAGUUCCAGCUGGCAAAAACAUGUAGUACAUGUAUGCACUGGAAGUUGGUAUCCCUGAGAUUAAUAAAAUAGUUUUUGUACAUGUACACAAAAUAUAUAUUUAUUGUGAAAGAAAUGAAACUUUUCUGCAGAAUAGUAUCCUCUUGGUCAAAGUACAUGUACAUGUAUUUAUAAUAAACAUUAAUAAGUAAUGCAAUACAUUUGUUUUCAGUGUCAUUGAGUUAUUCAACAACAUAUUAGUAUGCAUGAUCACAUGAAUGAGAAAUCAUAUAUUUUUUUUUUCAGGGGAAUAUUUUGCAUAUAUAAAAUCCAGAGAAUGAAUCAAUGGCAAUUGAACAUAUCUUAUUUACUAGAAAGUGUUUCCUGGCAUGCCUGAGGAACAAGCCUGUGUGUUUAAGGUAUAAAGACUUAACAAUUAACAUAUAUCUAAAUAGAUAUACAUGCCCCUUGGAAACAAUCAUUAUAUGGAAAACUGCCUUACACAUGUUACAAGUGCUCUAAUGUGUACAAUUCUUACCAGAUUUUUGUCGAGCCUGCAACUUUUGUCGCAGAAAGCUGGACAUAGUGAUAGUGAUACAGUGCCCUGGUGUUGGCAGCGGCAGCUAACUCUCAAAAGCUUCAUAUUUUAGAGGGUUGAAGACUUGGAUGCAUCAUACUUUGUAUAUAGAUGCCUCAUGUUAUGAAGUUUCCAUCAGUCACAUGUCCAAUGUCUUUGACCUCAUUUUCUUGUAUAUUCAGUGUAUGGAAGGACUGUAAGGUGUACAUGUCCAACUGGCAGGUGUCAUGUGACCUUGACCUAAUUUUUAUGGUUCAGCUGUAAUAGUUAAGUUUUUGUGUUUUGGUCUGUUUUUCUUAUACUGUAUGCAAUAGGUCUACUAUAAUUGGUGUAUGGAAUGAUGAUAAGGUGUACAUGUCUAGCUGGUAGGUGUCAUCUGACCUUGACCUCAUUUUUAUGGUUCAGUGGUCAAAGGUAAAUUUUUAAGUUUUGGUCUUUUUAAAAACUAUAUGGUCAACUUUUUUAUAGCUUUUUGUUCGGUGUGAGCCAAGGCUCCGUGUUGAUGGCUGUACAUUGACCUAUAAUGGUUUACUUUUAUAAAUUGUUAUUUGGAUGGAGAGUUGUCUCAUUGGCACUCACACCACAUACUCCUAUAUCUAAUAAUUAUUUGGUGUAUGGAAAUAUUGUAUGAACUAUAUGUUAGUCACACAGGUUUUAUUUGACCUUGACCUCAAUUGGUAAAUGUUAAGUUUAUGUCAUUGUGACAGUUAUAUUUAGGACCAUCAACAUAAUAUCAAUGAUUAGUAAAGAAGUAGAGACAUUUCAGUGUGUGCACUCUUGUUAUGAAAUUUAUGUUAAGUUUUAUGUCAUCAAUAUUUUAGACAAGUUUGAAAAUCAUUGCAGAACAAAUAUUUUUAAAAGAAUUGUUUCCUUGAAUGUCCCAAAUAUAAAAAAAGAAGAUGUGGUAUGAUUGCCAAUGAGACAACUCUCCACAAGAGACCAAAUGACAAAGAAAUUAACAACUAUCAUCUGACAUGAUCAUGACUAUAGUUAAUCGUACAACCUUCAACAAUGAGCAAAGCCCAUACCAUACAGUCAGCUAUAAAAGGCCGUGAAAUGACAAAUGUAAAACAUUUCAAACAAGAAAACAAACCACCUAAUUUAAGUACAAAAAAUUAACGAAAAAAAAUAAUAUGUAACACAUCAACAAACAUUAACAACUGAAUAACAGGCUCCUGACAGGCACAUUUGUACAGAAUGUGUGGGGGUGGGGUUCAACAUGUAAGCGAGAUCAAAACCCUCCCUCUAACUUGGGACAGUGGUGUGAAAGUACAACAUAAGAAUAAACUAUAAAAAUCAGUUGAAAAAGGCUUAAAUUUACUGUCUCAUCAAAUGAUACAAAUAGAAAUACAACACAGAGUAGACAUGGCUGGGUACUUGUUUAUUUAUCCCAACAACAAAAAGACAGCUAAGUGCAGAUCUGAGAGUACUCACAGCUACUGGCAGCUAGUUUAAAGCCACUAUCAUCUAAUAAAAAAAUCUCGAUCUUGGACUAAAUUAUCAAUCAGUACACAUCCAACAUCCAAUGGAUUUAGUGUAAAGAAGUCAUUUAAACAGUCAGAGGAAAACAUGACUGCGCGUAUAAUGCCAAGAUACAGGUUUAGACAGAUUAUAGAUCUUUGAAUCUGUAUAUGUAUAUAACAGUAAUAUUUAGUUUGCUUUUAAUUUUCUGAUAACAAAAUCAAUAUUAAUACCAGGAAAAACAAUAUUCAAUGAUCAAAAUUGGUUUCCAAUCUCUAACUUUAGUUUUGAAUAACUUGACCAAAUGUUAUAAAAACAUAUACAAAAUGCUUAAUAGCACAAAACGUGUGUCAAGAUUGAAUUUUGGUGGCGUCAUUUUAAUCGUUUUAGAGUUAUGCCCCUUUACAAAUGGAAAAACUGCUGAAUUUUCAGUUUUCUGUUUUCUAACUUAAGUUAGCCUCAACCAAAAGUAAUGAAACUUAUACACAAUUCUUAUUACCGCAAAAAAAAGAGCAAGAUUGAAUUUGGGUGGUGUCACUUUUAAUAAAAAUGUUUUCUGAUUUUUUUUACAUAAAUUAGACUGUUGUUUUACCCUUUUGAAUGGUUUUACACUAGUCAUUUUUGGGGCCCUUUAUAGCCUACUGUUCUGUGGGAGCUAAGGCUCUAUGUUGAAACCCAUACUUUGACCAAUAAUGUUUUUUUCUUUUUCAAAUUGUGACUUGGAGUGAGAGUUGUCUCAUUUGCACUCAUACCACAUCUUCUUGUAAUAUAUCUUUUAUCUUUCCCUUUAAAAAAAAUGGAAAAAUUGCUGAGUUUUUCCUUUUAGUUCACUACCUUGAGUUUGCCUUCGCAAAAUGGUAUGAAACUUAUACACCAUACUUUUUACCACAAAACUCUGAUCAAGUACAAAUUUGGGGAGCAUCACAUUUACAUGUUCUUCAGUUAUGUCCCUUUAUAACUUUAUAUGAUAUUUGUGUCACAUGAACACAUUCACCAUUCAUUGAGUUAUUGCCUUUGUGUUUAAUAGAUAAGAUAUGUGCAACAUGGGGGACAUUUGAACUCAUUUAUUGAGUUAUUGCCCUUGUAUUUAAUAGAUAAGAUAUGUGCAAUUCUGUUCUUUUAUUGAUUUUCAAUUUUGCUUUAGUUCAGUUAUGCAAAGAUACUACAGUGUAAUACUAUAUGUUGGAAUUCAUAUCAAGAACAGAUAAUACACCUAUGAGUAGAUACUGUUGUGAAUUUUUAGCUCACCUGGCCUGAAGGGCCAAGUGAGCUUUUCCCAUCACUUGGCGUCCGUCGUCGUUGUCCGUCGUCGUUGUCCAUCGUCGUCGUCCGUCGUCGUUAGCUUUUACAAAAAUCUUCUCCUCUGAAACUACUGGGCCAAAUUAAACCAAACUUGGCCACAAUCAUUAUUGGGGUAUCUAGUUUUAAAAUGUGUGGCAUGACCCGGUCAACCAACCAAGAUGGCCGCCACGGCUAAAAAUAGAACAUAGGGGUAAAAUGUAGUUUUUGGCUUAUAACUCAAAAACCAAAGCAUUUAGAGCAAAUCUGACAGGGUAUAAUUGUUUAUCAGGUCAAGAUCUAUCUGCCCUGAAAUUUUCAGACGAAUCAGACAACCCUUUGUUGGGUUGCUGCCCCUGAAUUUGUAAUUUUAAGGAAAUUUUGCUGUUUUUGGUUAUUAUCUUGAAUAUUUUUAUAGAUAGAGAUAAACUGUAAACAGCAAUAAUGUUCAGCGAAGUAAGAUUUACAAAUAAGUCAACAUGACCGAAAUGGUCAGUUGACCCCUUUACGAGUUAUUGCCCUUUAUAGUCAAUUUAUAACCAUUUUUCGUAAAUCUUAGUUAUCUUUUACAAAAGUCUUCUCCUCUGAAACUACUGGUCCAAAUUAAUCCAAACUUGGCAACAAUCAUCUUUGGGGUAUCUAGUUUAAAAAAUGUGUCCGGUGACCUGGCCAUCAAAUCAAGAUGUAGGGUUAAAAUGCAGUUUUUGGCUUAUAACUCAAAAACCAAAGCAUUAAGAGCAAAUCUGACAUGGGGUAUAAUUGUUUAUCAGAUCAAGAUCUAUCUGCCCUGUAAUUUUCAGAUGAAUCUGACAACCCUUUGUUGGGUUGCUGCCCCUGAAUCGGUAAUUUUAAGGAAAUUUUGCUGUUUUUGGUUGUUAUCUUGAAUAUUAUUAUAGAUAAAGAUAAACUGUACACAGCAAUCAUGUUCAGCAAAGUAAGAUUUACAAAUAAGUCAACAUGACCGAAAUGGUCAAUUGACCCCCUAAGGAGUUAUUGUCCUUUAUAGUCAAUUUUUAACAAUUUUUAUAAAAUUUGUAAAUUUUUAUUAACAUUUCCACUGAAACUACUGGGCCAAGUUCAUUAUAGAUAGAGAUAAUUGUAAGCAGCAAGACUGUUUAGUAAAGUAAGAUUUACAAACACAUCACUAUCACCAAAACACAACUUUGUCAUGAAUCCAUCUGCUUCCUUUGUUUAAUAUUCACAUAUACCAAGGUGAGCGACACAGGCUCUAAUUAGAGCCUCUAGUUUUUAAAGCUGAAAUUAUCAAUAAACAAACUCAUAAAUGCCAUGUAAAUUAAUAUUUUAUUUCAAUCUAUAUUUACAGAUAAGAAAACAACUUCAGCAUGCAAGAAAGAAG
rnacentral:lncRNA from 1 species